rnacentral:misc_RNA from 1 species
GAUGAAGAACGCAGCGAAAUGCGAUACUUGGUGUGAAUUGCAGAAUCCCGUGAACCAUCGAGUCUUUGAACGCAAGUUGCGCCCGAAGCCUCGGCUAAGGGCACGUCUGCCUGGGCGUCACGCAUCGCGUCUCCCCCAAACCGCCAAGGCGGAGGGGAAGGAAGAUGGCUUCCCGUGCCUCACCCGGGCGCGGUUGGCCUAAAUUUGGAGCCCGCGGCACUUAGCUCUCGCGGCGAUAGGUGGUGAACAAGGCCUUGGCCGUGCAAACAACCCGCUGCGAAGCUCUAUGUCACGUGCGCUCGUCGGACCCUUUGAAGUUGCCUUCGGUGACUUAAAACCUUUGCGACCCCAGGUCAGGCGGGGCUACCCGCUGAAUUUAAGCAUAUCAAAAGCGGAGGA